UGUAGUGAAAGCGAGUGUUAAUAGCCCGCAUUGCACUUCACUUUUACGCAUUAAGCAAUUAGUGCGUUAAAGUGAAGUACACGUCGCAUGGACAAGACCCGAAGCCGGGUGAUCUAACCAUGUCCAGGUUGAACUCUGUCGAAAGGCAGAGGAAGGACCGAACCCACGAGCCGUGCAACACUCGGGGAUGAGAGGUGGUUAGCGCAGAAAUUGUAAUCGAACUCGGCAAUAGCUGGUUCUCCUCGAAAUAGUUUUUGGACUAGCCUCGAGUGCUGACUGCGGGGGGUAGAGCACUGGAUGAGGGCGGGUCGCAAGAUACCGUCUUCAAUCAAACUCCGAAUACCCGUAGGUGCAGCUCGGGAGUCAGACCAUGGGCGCUAAGGUUCAUCGGUCAAAAGGGAAACAGCCCAGACCACAAUCUAAGGUCCCUAAAUAUAAGCUAAGUGUAAAAGGUGGUGUUGUGACCGCGACAAUUAGGAGGUUGGCUUAGAAGCAGCCAUCCUUUAAAGAUAGCGUAAUAGCUCACUAAUCAAGUUGUUUCGCGCCGAAAAUUUACCGGGGCUAAGCAUAUUACCGAAGAUGUGGACUCUAUGAUUUAUCGUAGAGUGGUAGAGGAGCAUUCUCUUCAGCGUUGAAGUCGUGUCGUGAGGCAUGGUGGAGCGGAGAGAAGUGAGAAUGUUGGCAUGAGUAGCAGAAAGGCGGGUUAAAAUCCCGCCCACCGAAAAUCUAAGGUUUCCUGGGCAACGAGAAUCGACCCAGGGUUAGUCGAUCCUAAGGUGUAUCUAAUGUAGUGUUAGAAUAACCGAUGGAAGAGCUGGUUAAUAUUCCAGCACUACUGUGUUUUUCCGAAGGAGGGACGCGGUUCUAAAGUUUGAGCGGGCACUGGUAUGUCCGUUGGGGGUUUCAAGAGGCGGCCUAGGCAAAUCCGGGCCAACAGCUUCAAGAAACAGCCAGAAGAUGAAGUCGCAAGAUGGAGUCAAUUCAAGUGGCAGAGCCGACGAGAAAAACUUCUAGGGCUAAGGGCACAGUAUCCGUACCGUAAACCGACACAGGUAGAUGAGGCGAGAAGCCUAAGGUGUACGAGAGAACCUUCGCUAAGGAACUCGGCAAAACAGCGGCCGUAAUUUCGAGAUAAGGCCUGCCCUGCGCAAGCAGGGCCGCAGCUAAAGAGCUCAAGGGACUGUUUAUCAAAAACACAGCUCUCUGCUAACUCGCAAGAGGAUGUAUAGAGGGUGAUGCCUGGCCAGUGUCCGAACGUUAAGAGGAGAGGUUAGCCCUUCGGGGCAAAGCUUUGAAUCCAAGCGCGGAUGAACGCCGGCGAUAACUAUAAUCGUCCUAAGGUUUUGCGGUUUAUCAUAUAGACCGCAAAAGACUGGGACGAUUAUAAAUUGAUAAAUAACAAAGUUCGUUGCCUAGCUAUGGCGAAAGCCAUGGUUGUCUAAAAUACUCAGUAAAAUGCGUGAAAAUCCUCAAAAGAUCAAAAGUACUCGGGGUGUCUACUCCAGUAAAAAUCUCUUGAUACACGGGGCAAACGCGCAGGAUUAAUAAUCCUCAGAGACUUAAAAACUGAGACUCUAAAAUAUGAAGGUGAAUCCCUAUUGGGUUAGCGGAUUUGUUGAUGGUGAGGGUACAUUUUAUGUUGGCAUUAAUCAUAACGAUUCGAUGAAAUCUGGUUUUCAAGUAUUACCGGAAUUCAGAGUUGUCCAACAUGAGAAAGAUAUCAAAGUGUUAUAUGCGCUUAAGACUUAUUUCGGAGCUGGCGUCGUCAGAGUAAAUCAUGACACGCGUCAGGAACUUCGAAUAAGAUCGUUAGACCAUAUAAACAGAUAUGUCAUCCCCCACUUCGAUAAAUAUCCGCUCCUAACUCAAAAGAAAUUUGAUUAUUUCAAGUUUAAGGAGAUUAUAAAGUUGAUGAAUUCCGGUCAACAUUUGACCAUUGAAGGCAUCAAACAUAUCAUCACUAUCGCUUCAAGAAUGAACAGGCAGAAUAAAGAAUCAGCGCCGUUUAUCUUAGAAGCAUUAAACUCAUAUCACGAGUAAGAUAAAGUCCAUUCUUAAUAGAAAUAUUAAGUAAGUGAAGAGCGAAAUUCCUUGUCGGGUAAGUUCCGACCUGCACGAAUGGCUUAACCAC
rnacentral:rRNA from 1 species